AUGGAGAGCAAUUUAGUGGAUACAACUCCAACGUCAAGGGAGUUUACACUCGACUUCUUACGACAUAUUACGAAUAAUCUUUCUGAGGACCGCAUAAUUGGGAAGGGUGGGUUUGCAGUAGUUUACAAGGGAGUAUUGGACAACGGGGAAGAGAUUGCCCUGAAGAAGCUUACUCACAUAGGGCCUGAAGACACGAAAUUUGCAGAUGAGUUCAAUAACAUUAUUAGGGCCCAUCAUCAAAAUAUCAUACAGUAUGUUGGCUACUGCUAUCAUCCAGGCAACUGGAUGAAGCUCGAUGAAAAAUAUAUCUUUGCUCAUGAGCCAAUAAGAAUUCUCUGCUUUGAAUAUUUGCAUGGUGGAGACCUUGAGAGGCACCUUUCUGCCAUGCGGACUUGA
rnacentral:rRNA from 1 species